AUACGUAGGGGGCAAGCGUUGUCCGGAAUUAUUGGGCGUAAAGCGCGCGCAGGCGGCUGCUUAAGUCUGGUGUAUAAGUGCGGGGCUCAACCCCGUGAGGCACUGGAAACUGGGCAGCUUGAGUGCAGAGGAGGAGAGCGGAAUUCCACGUGUAGCGGUGAAAUGCGUAGAGAUGUGGAGGAACACCAGUGGCGAAGGCGGCUCUCUGGCCUGUAACUGACGCUGAGGCGCGAAAGCGUGGGGAGC
rnacentral:rRNA from 1 species